UACGUAGGGUGCGAGCGUUAAUCGGAAUUACUGGGCGUAAAGCGUGCGCAGGCGGUGAUGUAAGACAGAUGUGAAAUCCCCGGGCUCAACCUGGGAACUGCAUUUGUGACUGCAUCGCUGGAGUGCGGCAGAGGGGGAUGGAAUUCCGCGUGUAGCAGUGAAAUGCGUCGAUAUGCGGAGGAACACCGAUGGCGAAGGCAAUCCCCUGGGCCUGCACUGACGCUCAUGCACGAAAGCGUGGGGAGCAAACAGG
rnacentral:rRNA from 1 species